rnacentral:rRNA from 1 species
GUAGGGAAUAUUGCGCAAUGGACGAAAGUCUGACGCAGCGACGCCGCGUGAGUGAUGAAGGACUUAGGGUCGUAAAGCUCUGUUGAAUGGUAAGAAAAAAAUGACGGUACCAUUCGAGGAAGGACCGGCUAACUUCGUGCCAGCAGCCGCGGUAAUACGAGGGGUCCUAGCGUUGUUCGGAAUCAUUGGGCGUAAAGGGUGUGUAGGUGGCCAUGUAAGUCAUGUGUGAAAGCCCCGGGCUCAACCCGGGAAGUGCACUUGAUACUGCGUGGCUUGAGUACCGAAGAGGGUAGUGGAAUACCAGGUGUAGUGGUGAAAUACGUAGAUAUCUGGAGGAACACCGGUGGCGAAGGCGGCUACCUGGUCGAGUACUGACACUGAGACACGAAAGCAUGGGGAUCAAACAGGAUUAGAUACCCGGGUAGUCC